AUUACAUAAACAUACAAAGAAUAACCAUUGUGAAAUUCUACUAGUACUUGAAGUAAAAAGGGAAACAAUUAUUGCUUAUUAUUUAAAAAAACUAAAUAUAGUUGCUUUUUUUUUUUUGAUGCACAAGAGUGAGUAGUAAAUUUUUCCCCAAGAAUGCUCAGUGGGCUUUUUCAUUACCUUGGGCACCCACAAGUAAGAGUCCUGUGAAUUUGGGGGCUUGGAGCACUUCUGGUUUAUAAGGUUGUUUCUUACUUACUGUAAAAUCUUUGUGUAGCAUGUUUUGAAAAACUUAUAAGAAGUUAUAUCAAAUUAAUCUCCAGAUGUGCUCCCAAUAGAGGAGGUUCAAGCCCAUUGUUAGAGUCUUAGAAUGCAGGUCUAGGCUGGCAGUAUCAUCAAGCUACCGAGCUGAGGGGCCCCAGAACACUCUGGGCACUCAGGUUACACCAAUAUAUGUGGCACAAGGAAAAUAAGGCCUGAUGAAUAAUAGCUUUUCACACCAUCAGAAAGACCACAGACCACAACCCGUAUGAUCAAGGGAGGAGUUAGCACACAGUCUAUCCCCAUCUUGGACCACUACAGACACAAGACAGCUCCAGCCCUUUUCCUAUCCCCACCCUCAGCUUAGCCUUACCAAUGGAUUGGUCAUUCAGUCUGUCAAUUAGGAAGACCUCACUGAGUGUCCUCGAUGAAGUCAGGAUGGUGUCAAGCUCACUCCAAGCUGUAUAGAACAAGGAGUUCAUCAGGUUGAGCCUGCCGGGAGGUAGCUAGUUGUUGAACUGCCUCACCUGUGGAGGUCCUACCCAUUCAUCCUUGC
rnacentral:lncRNA from 1 species